rnacentral:rRNA from 1 species
UACGUAGGGUGCAAGCGUUGUCCGGAAUUAUUGGGCGUAAAGAGCUCGUAGGCGGUCUGUCGCGUCUGCUGUGAAAACCCUAGGGCUUAACUCUGGGCGUGCAGUGGAUACGGGCAGGCUAGAGGUAGGUAGGGGAGAAUGGAAUUCCCGGUGUAGCGGUGAAAUGCGCAGAUAUCGGGAGGAACACCGGUGGCGAAGGCGGUUCUCUGGGCCUUACCUGACGCUGAGGAGCGAAAGCGUGGGGAGCGAACAGG